GACGAACGCUGGCGGCGUGCCUAAUACAUGCAAGUUGAGCGAUGAAGAUUGGUGCUUGCACCAAUUUGAAGAGCAGCGAACGGGUGAGUAACGCGUGGGGAAUCUGCCUUUGAGCGGGGGACAACAUUUGGAAACGAAUGCUAAUACCGCAUAACAACUUUAAACAUAAGUUUUAAGUUUGAAAGAUGCAAUUGCAUCACUCAAAGAUGAUCCCGCGUUGUAUUAGCUAGUUGGUGAGGUAAAGGCUCACCAAGGCGAUGAUACAUAGCCGACCUGAGAGGGUGAUCGGCCACAUUGGGACGGAGACACGGCCCAAACUCCUACGGGAGGCAGCAGUAGGGAAUCUUCGGCAAUGGACGAAAGUCUGGCCGAGCAACGCCGCGGGAGUGAAGAAGGUUUUCGGGUCGUAAAACUCUGUUGGUAGGGAAGAACGUUGGUGAGAGUGGAAAGCUCAUCAAGUGACGGUAACUACCCAGAAAGGGACGGCUAACUACGUG
rnacentral:rRNA from 1 species